CUUACACACAUAUCAGGACAUCCCCUACACACUCCAUCCCCUGUGAACAAACUCAUUGGUGGAACAUGAAGGUGGACCCUGGGACCCAGACCUUGAGCUGUGUAAAGGGCCCCCAAAAAAUGGUGCUGCUUCCCGUUCUCCCAGAACAUUGAUUUUUGUGACCACAGUUACAAACAGCCUCCAGAGAGCCUGUUCUACAUCAGACCAGUGGAGCCAGACUGCAGCUAGAGCCCAUCAUCAUCCUCAUC